rnacentral:rRNA from 1 species
GGGCUCACACAAGCGGUGGAGCAUGUGGCUUAAUUCGAAGCAACGCGAAGAACCUUAUCCAGGGUUUGACAUCCCGGAUUAAACCGUCGAAAGACGGUCUACACCCUUUGGGUGGAACGGUGACAGGUGCUGCAUGGCUGUCGUCAGCUCGUGCUGUGAAGUGUCGGGUUAAGUCCCUCAACGAGCGCAACCCUUAUCGUUAGUUGCUAACAGGUAAUGCUGAGGACUCUAGCGAGACUGCCGGUGUCAAACCGGAGGAAGGUGGGGAUGACGUCAAGUCCUCAUGGCCUUUAUGCCCUGGGCUGCACACGUGCUACAAUGGUAGGUACAGAACGAUGCAAGACCGCGAGGUGGAGCAAAUCGCUAAAACCUGCCCCAGUUCGGAUUGGAGGCUGCAACUCGCCUCCAUG